rnacentral:rRNA from 1 species
CCUACGGGCGGCAGCAGUGAGGAAUAUUGGUCAAUGCACGAGAGUCUGAACCAGCCAAGCAGCGUGAAGGAUGACUGCCCUAUGGGUUGUAAACUUCUUUUAUAUGGGAAUAAAACGUUCCACGUGUGGGAUUUUGUAUGUACCAUAUGAAUAAGGAUCGGCUAACUCCGUGCCAGCAGCCGCGGUAAUACGGAGGAUCCGGGCGUUAUCCGGAUUUAUUGGGUUUAAAGGGAGCGUAGGUGGAGUGUUAAGUCAGUUGUGAAAGUUUGCGGCUCAACCGUAAAAUUGCAGGUGAAAUUGGCAGUCUUGAGUACAGUAGAGGUGGGCGGAAUUCGUGGUGUAGCGGUGAAAUGCUUAGAUAUCACGAAGAACUCCGAUUGCGAAGGCAGUUCACUGGACUGCAACUGACACUGAGGCUCGAAAGUGUGGGUAUCAAACAGGAUUAGAUACCCUAGUAGUC